UGAGUAACACGUGGGUGAUCUGCCCUGCACUUUGGGAUAAGCCUGGGAAACUGGGUCUAAUACCGAAUAGGACCGCGCUCUUCAUGGGGUGUGGUGGAAAGCUUUUGCGGUGUGGGAUGGGCCCGCGGCCUAUCAGCUUGUUGGUGGGGUAAUGGCCUACCAAGGCGACGACGGGUAGCCGGCCUGAGAGGGUGACCGGCCACACUGGGACUGAGAUACGGCCCAGACUCCUACGGGAGGCAGCAGUGGGGAAUAUUGCACAAUGGGCGCAAGCCUGAUGCAGCGACGCCGCGUGAGGGAUGACGGCCUUCGGGUUGUAAACCUCUUUCAGUACCGACGAAGCGCAAGUGACGGUAGGUACAGAAGAAGGACCGGCCAACUACGUGCCAGCAGCCGCGGUAAUACGUAGGGUCCGAGCGUUGUCCGGAAUUACUGGGCGUAAAGAGCUCGUAGGUGGUUUGUCG
rnacentral:rRNA from 1 species